rnacentral:rRNA from 1 species
AUACAAAGAGAAAACCUUGUCAAUCCCCAAUCUCAUCUGAUCUCAUAAACUAAGCAGGGUUGGGCCUGGUAAGUAUUUGGAUGGGAGACCACCUGGUGCCACACACAGUGGUGCAUC